GCUAUUAAAGGACAGUAGUCGAUCUGUUGGCCUUAGGAACCAAAAACCCUUGGUGCAAAUCCAAGUAAUAGCU
rnacentral:tRNA from 1 species